UACGAAGGGGGCGAGCGUUAUUCGGAAUCACUGGGCGUAAAGCGUGCGUAGGCUGUUCGGUAAGUCAGGAGUGAAAGCCCAAGGCUCAACCUUGGAAGCGCCUUUGAAACUACCGGACUCGGAUUUGGGAGAGGAUAGCGGAAUUGUCAGUGUAGCAGUGAAAUGCGUAGAUAUUAACAGGAACACCAGUGGCGAAGGCGGCUACCUGGACCGGUUCUGACGCUGAGGCGCGAAAGCGUGGGUAGCAAACAGG
rnacentral:rRNA from 1 species